rfam:Arthrobotrys oligospora ATCC 24927 unplaced genomic scaffold scaffold00007, whole genome shotgun sequence.
GCCCACUUGGCGCAAUGGUUAGCGCACCUGACUUCUAUCCGAGAGGUUCCAUCAGGAGGCUGCAAGUUCGAGUCUUGCAGUGGGUG